AUUGAACGCUGGCGGCAGGCUUAACACAUGCAAGUCGAGCGGAGCGAGGGUGCUUGCACCUUAGCUUAGCGGCGGACGGGUGAGUAAUGCUUAGGAAUCUGCCUAUUAGUGGGGGACAACAUUCCGAAAGGAAUGCUAAUACCGCAUACGCCCUACGGGGGAAAGCAGGGGAUCUUCGGACCUUGCGCUAAUAGAUGAGCCUAAGUCGGAUGAGCUAGUUGGUGGGGUAAAGGCCUACCAAGGCGACGAUCUGUAGCGGGUCUGAGAGGAUGAUCCGCCACACUGGGACUGAGACACGGCCCAGACUCCUACGGGAGGCAGCCGUGGGGAAUAUUGGACAAUGGGCGGAAGCCUGAUCCAGCCAUGCCGCGUGUGUGAAGAAGGCCUUUUGGUUGUAAAGCACUUUAAGCGAGGAGGAGGCUACUAGUAUUAAUACUACUGGAUAGUGGACGUUACUCGCAGAAUAAGCACCGGCUAACUCUGUGCCAGCAGCCGCGGUAAAAC
rnacentral:rRNA from 1 species